rnacentral:lncRNA from 1 species
GCAUCGGCGAUCGAUCUGGGCAGCAUCCCGCAUGCUGCACGUACAUUGACCGAGUGAGUGAGAAGCCUUCACCGGUUUUCCACAGCCUCCGCAUCCCAAGGCUAGUAGCUUCUGCAUCUUUGCUGCAAGAGACCGAGAAAUUUGAAUGCGAAAAACUGUCACGAAAACACGUCAUAGACGGCUACCGCUAGUCGCACGCAGCAUUCGUUGGUUUAUAGCAGCAUGGCAGGCAUAGGAGAACAUGCG